ACCAGAGAGCCCAUCGGAGUCGAGUGAUUCCCAUUCAUCCACUUUCAAACCACCAAUAGACUUCAAAAAAGCCGGUGUGGGUGAGGCCACUUUCGAUUCUUGAAUCAAAAUGACAUCGCACUGAUGGAGCUCAAUAAGAUCUUUUAUCGCACGCCUUUUUUCAGCGGCUCCGGAUCCACGGACAUUCCAAGAAAUUAGAUGCAUAGAUAAAUCAGCAAACCACCACAGAUUAAAACACCCACC
rnacentral:lncRNA from 1 species